CCCAUGCAAGGAGCCCGAUGGGGGACUUGAUCCCAGGACCCUGGGGUCACGCCCUGAGCCGAAGGCAGACGCUGGACCGCUGAGCCCCCAGGGGCCCCGCACCUUAGGUUGUAUUCGCUGCUCCCUCCGAAGUGCUCCUGCCGCAGGAACUGGCUCAAUCCCCAGAAUCUGUACCGCAAGGCCACAGAGGAUGGUGACGAGGAGCACGGGCUCCAGACGCUGGCAGGCCCGGGCUCUGGCUCCGAUGCUGACUUGCUGUGCAACGGUGGACGAGUCCGUGUCUCGGAGCCACCGGGUCCUCAGCCAGAAAGAAGGGGUCAUAACGGGGCCCGCGACCGGGGUCAUGGGAGAAGGAGCGCAGGCUGCGAGCUGCCCAGGCCCUCCCUGCCCGAGCUCCCUGCCUGGGCCCACAUCCGCCGGCCGGAAGGGUGUUCACAGGAAACAGCCAAGAGGUGCCCCCCACGUAGCCUUCAUGGACUUCCCCCAGUGGCUGUACCUUCCCCAGUCGAGAGUACAGCCUCAAAGCCAGGACGUGACACUGGGACACUGUGUGUUCCUGCGCUAUUUUGUCGCGUGUGUAGAUGACGGAACCGCUAUGGAACUGGCAAAAGAACUGUGUCACCACAAAGAUCUCCCCGGAUCCUCUUCUACCGUCACGCCCAUCCCCCCCGCCCCCCCAACCCUCACCCCCAGCAACCACUAAUCUGCUCUCCGGCUCUAUAAUUUUGUCAUUUUAAGAAUGUCGUAUAAAUGGAAGCAUGCACUAUGUGACCUUUCGAGAUUGUCUUUCUUUGCUCAUCGUAAUGCCCUUGAGAUCCAUCCAAGUUGCUGCGUGUGCCAAGAGUUCGAUCGUGUUUCUUGCGGAGUGGUGUUCCGCGGUAUAGACGUGCCGCGGCUGGUUUACCCAUUCACUUGUUGACGGGCGUUUCGGUUGUUUCCAGUUCCGUGUAGAGCUGCUACAGGCGUCGUGUAGAGAGUUUUGCGUGGACACAGGUUUUCACUCCUCCGGGAUAAGCGUUCAGGAGUGCAAGUGCUGGGUUGUACGGUAAAUGCAGGUGUCGUUUGUAAGAAACUGCCACCCGGUGAGAGAUCCAGUUUCUCUGCCUCUUGGGAGCAUUGAAUGCCGCCCCCACGUUUUUCACUGUGGCUGUUCCAAUAGGUGCGCGGUGAGAUCUCGCCAGGUUUUCAUGUGCUGCCUCCCUAAUGAGUAGGGAUAGUGGGCAUCCUCUCGUGUCCUCGUCCUCCGUCUGCAUACCCCCUCUGGUGAAAUGUGGCUUCCUGCCUUUGGCUCACUUUCUCCUUAGAGCAUUUGCUUUUUUACUGUUUUGAGUUCAAGAGCACUUGAUGCACUCUAUGAAGACAUCCUUGGUCACGUAGGUGGUUUGCAGAUCAUUUCUCUGCGGCUGCAACUUGUCAUUUCAUGCUCCUAAUGCAUCUUUUGCAAAGCAAAGGCUUUUUUUUUUUAAAAUGUUGAUCAAGAUCAAUGUAUCACUUUUAAAAAUUUUUUUUAAGUUCUAUUUUUAUUUUUAAAGAUUUUAUUUGUUUAUUUAUGAGAGACACAGAGAGAGAGAGGCAGAGACACAGCCAGAGGGAGAAGCAGGCUCCAUGCAGGGAGCCCGACAUGGGACUCGAUCCCGGGUCUCCAGGAUCAGGCCCUGGGCUGCAAGAGGUGCUCAACCGCUGAGCCACCCAGGUUGCCCUAGAGUUUUUUAAUUUUUAAAUAAUCUCUACACCUGUUGUGGGGCUUGAAUUCACAACCCCGAGAUCAAGCAUUGCCUGCUCCUCCGAGUACCCCCUUUUCCCAUUUUCUUUAUUUCGUUUUGUUGUUUGGGUGGUGGUUUCCCUCUUUUUGCUUCUAGAUGGUGCUUUGGGUGUUAGGUCUCAGAACUUCUCACCAAUCCCUAGGUCUAAAGAUUUUCUCCUACACAUUUUAUAGUGUCUUAUAUCUUAAUCCCCCCAUUAAAUUCUUGUGGAAGAUGUGAGGUUGAAAUUGAGAUUCUUGGGUUUUCUUUUUGUUUGUUUGCUUGUUUUUUUUGUCUUUGUUUUUGUUUGGGCACAAGGAUGUCCAUUGCUUUAGCACCAUUUGUCGAAAAGACGAUCCUUCAUCUACUGAAUUGUUUUUGAAAAACCCCAGCUUUAUUGACAUGCAACCACACAUGGUUUAAUCUACCUAUUUAAAGUGCACAACUCAAUGGUUUUUUUUAGUAUUUUCAUGGAGCUGUACAACCAUCACCACAAUCAAUUUUAGAACGUUUUCAUCACCCCCUCAAAAGUCUCCCUACCUAUUAGUGGUCACCCGCCCCCCUCUCUAUCCCUACCUUCCCAGCUUUGGGCAACCACUAAUCUACUUUCUGUCUCUACAAUUUGCGUAUUCUGGACAUUUCAUGUAAAUGAAAUCAUACAACAUGUGAUCUUUUCUGUCUGGAAAAGACAGAAAAGUGGCUUCUUUCACUUAGCAUAACAUUUUCAAGGUUCAUCAUGUGAUAGCGAAGCCUCGGUCCUUCCUUUCUUUGUAUUGCCUGCUAGUAGUCCAUCGUAUCCAUCCCGUGUACCGCGUAAUAGACCACAUGGUCUUUAUCCAUUCAGCAGUUGAUGGGCCUUUGAGUCGUUUCUGCUUUUUGGUGAUUAUGAAUAGGGCUGCUAUGAACAUCCACGUGCAAGUUUUUGUGUGGACAUAUGUUUUCAGUCCUCCUGGGUGUACACCUAGGUGUAGAGUUGCAAACAAAUUGCCAAGUCAUAAACAAACCCUAUAUGCUUAACCUUUCGAGGAACUGCGUUUCAAGCUGCACCGUUGACUUUCCCACCAGCAGUGAGGGCUCUAAUCUCUGCACAUUUUUACUGAACGCUUGUUAUAAUGCCUUUUUUUAUUUCAGCCAUGGGUGUAAAGUGUUAUCAUUGAAUUGCUUUCAUGCUUUUGCAAAAAUAGGUUGGCUAGGGCAGCCCAGGUGGCUUAGCGGUUUAGCACUGCCUUCGGCCAAGGGCAUGAUCCUGGAGACCUGGGAUCGAGUCCCACGUCGGGCUCCCUGCAUGGAGCCUGCUUCUCCCUCUGCCUGUGUCUCUGCCUCUCUCUCUCUCUCUCUGUGUGUGUCUCUCAUGAAUAAAUAAAUAAAAUCUUAAAAAAAAAUAGGUUGG
rnacentral:lncRNA from 12 species